GAUCAAGUGUCUUAAGGGCAAUUGGUGGAUGCCUUGGCAUGCACAGGCGAUGAAGGACGUGAUACGCUGCGAUAAGCUACGGGGAGGUGCGAAUACCCUUUGAUCCGUAGAUUUCCGAAUGGGGAAACCCACCUUAAAUGCUUGUAAAAUCAGAGUUGUCGGCCGACUUCGGUUGGGCGGCGGCUGUGGUUUACAAGCAUUGAAAUAAGGUAACUUACCCUGAAUAAAAUAGGGGUAAAGUGGCGAACGCGGGGAACUGAAACAUCUAAGUACCCGUAGGAAAGGACAUCAACCGAGACUCCGGCAGUAGUGGCGAGCGAACCCGGACCAGGCCAGCGGCGAUGGUGAGACAAGCGGAACAUUCUGGAAAGUUUGGCCGUAGCGGGUGACAGCCCCGUACGCGUAAUGCGAACCAUCGUCCUAGAGUAAGGCGGGACACGUGAAAUCCUGUCUGAACAUGGGUAGACCACUAUCCAAGCCUAAGUACUCGUGCAUGACCGAUAGCGAACUAGUACCGUGAGGGAAAGGUGAAAAGCACCCCGACAAGGGGAGUGAAAGAGUACCUGAAACCGAUUGCCUACAAACAGUGGGAGCCUGCAAUGGUGACCACGUACCUUUUGUAUAAUGGGUCAGCGACUUAGUGUGACGAGCAAGCUUAAACCGGUAGGUGUAGGCGCAGCGAAAGCGAGUCUGAACAGGGCGGUUCAGUUCGUCGCAUUAGACCCGAAACCGAGUGAUCUAGCCAUGAGCAGGUUGAAGGUAAGGUAACACUUACUGGAGGACCGAACCCAUAACUGUUGCAAUAGUUCGGGAUGACUUGUGGCUAGGGGUGAAAGGCCAAUCAAACUCGGAAAUAGCUGGUUCUCCGCGAAAUCUAUUUAGGUAGAGCGUCGACCGAAUACCCCAGGGGGUAGAGCACUGGAUGGGCUAGGGGUCCUCACCGGAUUACCAAACCUAACCAAACUCCGAAUACCUGGGAGUACUAGUCGGCAGACACACAGUGGGUGCUAACGUCCAUUGUGAAGAGGGAAACAACCCUGACCUACAGCUAAGGUCCCCAAGUCAUGGCUAAGUGGGAAAGGAUGUGAGGAUCCCAAAACAACCAGGAUGUUGGCUUAGAAGCAGCCAUCAUUUAAAGAAAGCGUAACAGCUCACUGGUCUAAAUAAGGGUCUUUGCGCCGAAAAUGUAACGGGGCUAAAGCCAUGCACCGAAGCUUAGGGUUUGGUCCGCAAGGGCCAAGCGGUAGCGGAGCGUUCCGUAAGCUGAUGAAGCCAUACCUGCGAGGGAUGGUGGAGGUAUCGGAAGUGCGAAUGCUGACAUGAGUAACGUAAGGGGGGUGAGAGACUCCCCCGCCGAAAGUCCAAGGGUUCCUGCUUAAAGCUAAUCUGAGCAGGGUUAGCCGGCCCCUAAGUCGAGGCGGAAACGCGUAGACGAUGGGAACCACGUUAAUAUUCGUGGGCCUGGAGGUAGUGACGGAUUGCGUGUGUUGUCAGGUCUUAUUGGAUUGAUCUGGCCGCGAAGCAGUUCCAGGAAAUAGCUCCUCCUUAUAGACCGUACCCGAAACCGACACAGGUGGACUGGUAGAGUAUACCAAGGCGCUUGAGAGAACUAUGCUGAAGGAACUCGGCAAAUUGCACGCGUAACUUCGGAAGAAGCGUGACCCCUUUGCACGCAAGUGUAUGGGGGUGGCACAGACCAGGGGGUAGCGACUGUUUAUCAAAAACACAGGGCUCUGCGAAGUCGCAAGACGACGUAUAGGGUCUGACGCCUGCCCGGUGCUGGAAGGUUAAAGGGAGGG
rnacentral:rRNA from 1 species